GUUUUAAUUCUCCUUGUUGUCCCUGGCAUUAAAAGCAUCUAGCUUUACGGAACCCCACCAACCCCUAAAUACCCUUUUUUCUCCCAACCGGGAUCUAGCUUUUUACCAUUUCCUUAAUGUUUGCACCUAGAAACGCAGCUUAAGUGGCAUUAUGCUAAGUAAUUAUUCUUACAGGAUGUGAAAUGAAACAAAUUUUGCACAGCAUGAAAUUAUUCCUGCCACGUACGGCGUUCGGUGGCAGAUUUUUGAGUUUGGACCACAAACAAGGCUCGGCAGCACGGAGAGGAGGGGGCGGGGAGGAAAACACCACCAAAGGAUGCCCCUGAUGUUGCUGAUCUCUUACUCCUGCCCUACUGGUGAGGUUCAGGAUGGAAACGCUUUUAUGGCUGAGUUGGACAGUGCCUCCAGAAGGAUCCUUGCUCCUUUGCCACACAGGAUGGGCAAAGAUCUCCAAACAGAGCCAAGGACUCCAGGCCAGCACUGACUCAGGACAGUCUCCGCUGUUGGCUGUGCUAGGACCCAUCUUUCAUAAAGAGUUUGGAGAGGAACAGACCCGAGACCGGCUUCAGUCUUGGCCCAUCAUUUCAGUACAAAGCACUUUUUGCAUAGUCCUUGCAGUUGCUCGGCCUUGGUUGUGCUGGCUUUUGCACCUCUUUGAACUUAAAUACAAAAUGAGCAUUGGUUUUGGAGAGGGAAUUUGGAUGCUUAGUUUUUCUUGUGUUACUUCUUUCGCAGUGGAGCCUGCUGAGAUAGAGCUUCCAGCCUUUGGGCACUGUGUGGCCCUUGCAGAGGAGAGCUUGGGCCGCAAAGAUUGGUGAUCAAGGGAGAUAGAUAGGAUGGAUGGAAGGAACCCAUUGGACUGUGGUUGGUUGCUCAAGGAGGAAAGUGGCUGCGGAGCCAUGGAGCGUCAAGCGUGAGAUCUGUGAUGUUCUGCCUUCAGCUAUCUCUACUUCCUCAUCACAGAGCAGGCAGCUUUUGGUUUGUGUUUUUUCUUUUUCUUUUCCUUUUUUUUUUUUCCUAUGCUAUAUUUGCACACAAUUAUAGCAAGAUGCAAAUUAAGACCUCUCCAACCCCAUUUGUCAUUCUUUCUACCUGAUGAACUUCAUGUCAUUAAAAUGAGGACGAGGUGCCCAGAACCUGCCAAUUUCCACUGCAGAUCAGUUGUCAGAAAGCAAAAGCUUCUGUUCCUUUUCUUCAGACGGAUAAGUGAAAUGUGCAAGAGACCAUAAAUGAAGCUGAAAUAAUGGAAGAUCACUCAAAAAUUCUCCACGCUUUGGAAAGACUUAUACUCACAUUUGUAACGCUGAAGAAAGGAGAAUGCUAUGUAAGAAACAGGUUGCAGAAUAAGGACUUCUAUGUCUUAGUCCUAUCACUGCUCUAAACUUCCUGAAAAAAGAGCCCUUACUGACUGGUCUCUUUCCAGUGAAAUGAAAUUCCUUGUCCCCACUCCAGCAGAGCCACUUGGAGACAGCUUGUGAAAGGCAUUUCUGUCUGUGCAUGCAUGGUGCUGCUGCAUGCCUGGUUUGUGAACAGAAAGGGAAAUGCUUGGAUGGGCUUCCUAAAGAAAACAAAUUAAAAAAAAAACACGGUGCAGAGCUCUGAGAGCUGUGACUCUCUGGGCACAGAGAUGGUGUCCUUGCAGGAAGGGUGAUGGGAGCACUCACUGGCCCCACUGGUGCCCCAAAGUGGGAGCACAGAGCCAGUCCUGCUGCUUAGCACAUCUCUGCGAUUUAAGGGUGGUCGAGAGGGAGCUCAGCAGCAGUUUGUUUUUCUCUCUUGACUUUGUCCCAUUGCUGGGGUAUUUUGCUGAUGUGCUGGAGGACGCUAACACCUUGAUGGGCCCCAUCUGUUCCAGCGAGGAGAGUACAGCUGAAUGCUUCGAGGGUGCCCGGGUGCAGCUUGGGAACGCUCCUUGCUUUAUCCAUGGUGAAGCAGUUGGCAUCGGCCAAGCUCCCUGGCACCCGGAGGGGGGAAAUCCUGAGGUAAAUUCGAGUAGACAUGAUGUUAGAAAAGAACUAACCGUUAGGGCACGCCGGGGUCGCCAGGUCUCCCAGCAGGGACAGGUGCCUGCCACUCCGUGCAUGGCCGGCAGCCAAGGACUUAGCGGUGGGACUCAUGCCAGUCACGCAUGAAGAGCAGACACAAGGCUGGAGCUGGAGACAAUGAGUAGUUUCCUCCGCUUCUCCCUGCCUCACUGGUGCGUGUUUGUGUACCCGGGGUGCUAUAUGGCAUCUCCAGGGCCAGCAGUGCCUCGCUGAAGAUGCUGUAGGAUGCUAUGAAGCCAGUAGUGACCCUCCUUGGUGAAGGGUGGCAGGAGGAGUUGGGCCCCCAAAGCCAGAACCGAUUUCUUGGUCUGCGUGCAGCUAUCUGCACGUACAAACCAGUAUUUGCAUAUGCAAGCAUCCAGCUGUGCAUUCAGGCACUUACUAUGCUGAAGCAAACAUGAGCAUGUGCAUGUUUAAUGGAUCCUGCUCUGAGCUCGUGCACUGGAAUCAUGGGUGCUGCCUGCACCAAACCCUGGGUCCGGUCGUCAUGGGAAGGAUCUGAAAUCGGGCUGGCACAUCAUAAGAUAACUGGGAGCUUUUAACCUAGCUCUGUAUUUUUGAGCAUUAGAACAUACUUUUUAGCAGAAAUUACUAAAUAUUAUUUGCUGUAUAGCACAGAGCAACCCUAUGGGCUCUCUGCAAGUUGCACCCUAAGUCUUUCAGAAUGAUACAGG
ensembl:lncRNA